CUCGCAAGAGUGAACUAGCUAACUGAAAUCCUUGGUGUGCCAUCGAGGAUAACGUAAGGGAAAAGAUCAUAACCACGGGAGCCGGCCCCUCCUCUUUAGAUCGAAAGGUUUAGAGGGUAGAGGUUGGUGUGGUCUAUGAGGUGAUAUUACCUUACUAUUAGUGUCGUCCAAGUGCUCGUGCCAGAAGACUCGGUAAGGCGAGAGACGCAAACGUUAUUCGUCUUGAACAGGCGUAAAGGGUAAGUAGGCGGCUUUAAGUAUCUAAUUUUAAGUUUUACUGUUUUAAUGCUAAAUUAUAUACCUACUCUAGAAGUUAGGAUAGGUUUUCUUUUCAAUGAUAAAGAUUAACUCCACUCCACUCCCAAACACUCCUUCUCCUUUUUAAAGGGGAGACAGAUGUAAAGGGUUGUGGUAUGGCUGUGAAAAUAACCUAUUAAUUUAGUAUUUUAAUAUUUAUUAAAGGAUCAAUUAAAGCUAGAAUCUAAAAGAGGUUAAAACAAUACUUAAGGUAGGUGUACCAACCAUAAAUAAUAAGCAGAGUAUUAAGGGCGAAGGCAUUUAUCCACUGAAGAUUGACGCUGAGGAACGAAGGUGAGGACAGAAAAAAGGAUUAGAGACCCUUGUAUCCCUCACUGUCAACGAUGAAUGGUAGUUACUAGAUAGAAAUAAUCUAGAGGCGAUGUUAACACGAAAACCAUUCCGCCUUGUGAGUACGACUGCAAAGUUGAAAACAAAAAAAUUAGUCGGUUUCGGAGCAAACGAAGUGAAGCAU
rnacentral:rRNA from 1 species